AACGAGUGAGACUUGCUCAGUUGG
rnacentral:miRNA from 1 species